rnacentral:rRNA from 1 species
AGUCUCUGGAUAUAGACCCGAAACCGAGUGAUCUAGCCAUGGGCAGGUUGAAGAUUGAGUAACAUCAAUUGGAGGACCGAACCGACUAAUGUUGAAAAAUUAGCGGAUGACUUGUGGCUAGGGGUGAAAGGCCAAUCAAACUCGGAGAUAGCUGGUUCUCCCCGAAAGCUAUUUAGGUAGCGCCUCGGACGAAUACUACUGGGGGUAGAGCACUGUUAAGGCUAGGGGGUCAUCCCGACUUACCAACCCUUUGCAAACUCCGAAUACCAGUAAGUACUAUCCGGGAGACACACGGCGGGUGCUAACGUCCGUCGUGGAGAGGGAAACAACCCAGACCGCCAGCUAAGGUCCCAAAUUACUACUAAGUGGGAAACGAUGUGGGAAGGCUCAGACAGCCAGGAUGUUGGCUUAGAAGCAGCCAUCAUUUAAAGAAAGCGUAAUAGCUCACUGGUCGAGUCGGCCUGCGCGGAAGAUGUAACGGGGCUAAGUAGUAAACCGAAGCUGCGGCUGCAAUCGUAAGAUUGUGGGGUAGGGGAGCGUUCUGUAAGCCGUUGAAGGUGUGUUGUAAAGCAUGCUGGAGGUAUCAGAAGUGCGAAUGCUGACAUGAGUAACGAUAAUGGGGGUGAAAAACCCCCACGCCGGAAGACCAAGGGUUCCUGUCCAACGUUAAUCGGGGCAGGGUAAGUCGACCCCUAAGGCGAGGCUGAAAAGCGUAGUCGAUGGGAAACGGGUUAAUAUUCCCGUACUGCUUAUAAUUGCGAUGGGGGGACGGAGAAGGCUAGGUGGGCCUGGCGACGGUUGUCCAGGUUCAAGUGCGUAGGCUAAGAGACUAGGUAAAUCCGGUUUCUUGUUAGGCUGAGACACGACGUCGAGCACCUACGGGUGUGAAGUCAUUGAUGCCAUGCUUCCAGGAAAAGCCUCUAAGCUUCAGAUUAUAAGCAAUCGUACCCCAAACCGACACAGGUGGUCGGGUAGAGAAUACCAAGGCGCUUGAGAGAACUCGGGUGAAGGAACUAGGCAAAAUGGUACCGUAACUUCGGGAGAAGGUACGCUCUUGGCGGUGAAGUCCCUAGCGGAUGGAGCUACUGAGAGUCGCAGAUACCAGGUGGCUGCAACUGUUUAUUAAAAACACAGCACUGUGCAAAAUCGUAAGAUGACGUAUACGGUGUGACGCCUGCCCGGUGCCGGAAGGUUAAUUGAUGGGGUUAGACUUAGGUCGAAGCUCUUGAUCGAAGCCCCGGUAAACGGCGGCCGUAACUAUAACGGUCCUAAGGUAGCGAAAUUCCUUGUCGGGUAAGUUCCGACCUGCACGAAUGGCGUAAUGAUGGCCACGCUGUCUCCACCCGAGACUCAGUGAAAUUGAAAUCGCUGUGAAGAUGCAGUGUACCCGCGGCUAGACGGAAAGACCCCGUGAACCUUUACUACAGCUUGGCACUGAACAUUGAACCUACAUGUGUAGGAUAGGUGGGAGACUUAGAAGCGCAGUCGCUAGAUUGCGUGGAGUCGUCCUUGAAAUACCACCCUUGUAGUUUUGAUGUUCUAACGU